CGCAAGCUUCUCUAGGCUCCGGGGAAACUUUGGAGCUGAUGGUUGGCAACAGUGGACUAAUGUCCUCAUCAAGAAGGCUGCAGGCUGCAAGAGGAGAAGGGGUUUCCGACAGGAUCUAAAACAGUGAGAAGCAACUGUGUUUAAAAGAAGCCAUUAUGGAACUACAAAGUGCAUGGGAGGAGGGAGCACAAUCAAAUACUUAGUACCCAGUAUCCUCAGUUGCGUGUUUAUGAACAGGAUGACGGUAACCUGAGACUGAUCUUCUACAGAGACCUCCUACUUAGAUUAGCUAAGCCUGCCUCUUCAUUCAGCUUCAUACAAUAAACCCAGUUCCAGAUAUAUAAAAUAAAUAUGAUGGAUUCUGGAUUGCUGUUGGUUUGCCUCUAUCAGAGCGCACAAUGCAUUGGAUCCCAGCUUUACUGCAGGUAUGUCUGUUCUUUCUUCAUUCCCCCA